CACUCUCUUUCCUGGGCAGAACAAGGUAGGAGAAAGACUCGUGAGAGGAGUGCCCCACCAAGUGAAACUGCAGCUACACAGACCUCAAAGUCCUUAAACACUUGCACUGUUAAGCAUGAAAAUAGUUAAUUAAUCUAAGACGAAACGUUGGAAUUUUUAGUCUCGCAGUAUUUUUUAGUCGUGAGAGUUAGCAAUACACUAAAGGCAACAUGAAUGUGUUAAUGGUUUUGCUCUGGUUGCUCAUCCUUAUCUUCGCCUCCUGGUGGAUAGCGUGUUUCGUCUUCUUGCCGUACCUUGUGUGUGGCGUCCUGGCACCUUGGAUUCCUCCUUUUAAAGAUUUUGAAGCUUUCCUACUCCAAGGAGUGCGUUUCCCCGGCUUCUGUUCCGAAAGGAUAUGUGCUGCUUUUUCGAAUGAAUGAGAGAAAAAGGAGCAGUGAUUCUGUACAUGUUGAAAUUUCACCACUGCCACAGUGUAAAUAACAAAAAAACGGCAUGCAGCAAAUGGAGUUAACCAGAUUAAUAGGAGCAACAGACUGACCGCAUGUGAAACAUCAAAAUGUAUUAAUAAAAAAAAUUUAACAAAAAAAUUUGUACAAGUACAAAUAAUUUAUUGAAAUUAGUAUGUAAGACUAAACUUGUGUUUUUACUGAGCUCUUGUUAUCUCUGAUCACUGUUGAUUGUUAUAUUUGCUAAUUAUAUGGUUUACUAGCAUUGAUUUA